CACGAAUUCGGCGAAGCGGAUGUAGUCGGUGCCGAGGCGGCAGAGCCGGUUAAGGACGCUGGUCUCGCUGGGGUGCAGAAACGGCAGCUCCUGAGACACCUGGAAGGGAAAACAGCGCACUUACAGGAUGAUGUCUCCACCACGUUCCUUGGCAGCCCAUUCCAAUAUCUAACCACCCUUCCUGUGAAGAAAUUCUUCCUAAUGUCCAAGCUAAACCUGCCCUGGCACAGCUGUGUCUUCUUGUCCUGUUCCAUGUUACCUGUGUAUAUAUAGUAAGUAAAUAUACUUAUAUAUUUAUAUAAUAAAUAUAUAUAUAAAUAUA